AGGGAUGUAGCACAGCUUGGUAGCGCGUUUGUUUUGUGUACAAAAUAUCACGAGUUUAAAUCAUGUCAUCCCUA
rfam:Beta vulgaris subsp. vulgaris chromosome 5, whole genome shotgun sequence.